rnacentral:rRNA from 1 species
UCGUCAGCUCGUGUCGUGAGAUGUUGGGUUAAGUCCCGCAACGAGCGCAACCCUUGCCUUUAGUUGCCAUCAUUAAGUUGGGCACUCUAGAGGGACUGCCAGGGAUAACCUGGAGGAAGGUGGGGAUGACGUCAAAUCAUCAUGCCCCUUAUGCUUAGGGCUACACACGUGCUACAAUGGGUGGUACAGAGGGCAGCCAAGUCGUGAGGCGGAGCUAAUCCCUUAAAGCCAUUCUCAGUUCGGAUUGUAGGCUGAAACUCGCCUACAUGAAGCUGGAGUUACUAGUAAUCGCAGAUCAGAAUUCUGCGGUGAAUGCGUUCCCGGGUCUUGUACACACCGCCCGUCACACCAUGGGAGUUGGGGGCGCCCGAAGCCGGUUAGCUAACCUUUUGGAAGCGGCCGUCGAAGGUGAGACCAAUAACUGGGGUGAAGUCGUAACAAGGUAACCGUA